AUUGAACGCUGGCGGCAGGCCUAACACAUGCAAGUCGAGCGGAUGAAGGGAGCUUGCUCCUGGAUUCAGCGGCGGACGGGUGAGUAAUGCCUAGGAAUCUGCCUGGUAGUGGGGGAUAACGUCCGGAAACGGGCCCUAAUACCGCAUACGUCCUGAGGGAGAAAGUGGGGGAUCUUCGGACCUCACGCUAUCAGAUGAGCCUAGGUCGGAUUAGCUAGUUGGUGGGGUAAAGGCCUACCAAGGCGACGAUCCGUAACUGGUCUGAGAGGAUGAUCAGUCACACUGGAACUGAGACACGGUCCAGACUCCUACGGGAGGCAGCAGUGGGGAAUAUUGGACAAUGGGCGAAAGCCUGAUCCAGCCAUGCCGCGUGUGUGAAGAAGGUCUUCGGAUUGUAAAGCACUUUAAGUUGGGAGGAAGGGCAGUAAGUUAAUACCUUGCUGUUUUGACGUUACCAACAGAAUAAGCACCGGCUAACUUCGUG
rnacentral:rRNA from 1 species